UACGUAGGUGGCAAGCGUUGUCCGGAUUUACUGGGCGUAAAGAGCGCGCAGGCGGUCGUGCAAGUCGCGUGUGAAAGCCCCCGGCUCAACUGGGGAGGGUCACGCGAUACUGUUCGACUCGAAGGCAGGAGAGGGAAGCGGAAUUCCCGGUGUAGUGGUGAAAUGCGUAGAUAUCGGGAGGAACACCAGUGGCGAAGGCGACACGCUGGGCCGUACCUGACACUGAUGCGCGACAGCAUGGGGAGUAAACAGG
rnacentral:rRNA from 1 species